AUGCUGACAGACAUCUGUGCACAUCCCAAAAAAAUGUAAGCAGUCGGCCUCCUUACUUGUUUAGGCUUGGGAGAUGGAGAUUUGUAAGAGAGCAGAGAAGAGGAUUUUGGUGUCAAUUCUCCAGUCACACAAGGGUCAGCACACUGGUGAGGUGGAAAUUGUCACCGCUAUUUUCAGAAGACACUGCGGCAAAGUGAUGCUAGGAGGAGCAGUGAAGUUGUCAUGAUGUUAACUUACAGCUUCCUACAGGGGUUUGUCAGGCACCUUUAAUCUAAAGAAAGAACUACAGCAAAGAACUGCAUAUUGACUAGACUAUUAACACAAGCACAAUGCUUUAUAACUGGCUACUUCACCCUUGGCCUGGGCUUCCUGCACAGAACUUAUUGUGAUUGAUUUUACAGGAGUCUCAUGUUUGUUCGUGCGACCUCCAUGGCCAUUCCUGUUCUUUUCCACCUUUAUGGAAAUAAACAAUUUAUGUG